GGCUGAGCACCACGGCAGGCUGCCACUGUUACCCACUCUGGCGGUGGGCCGCCUGAGCGGGGGCCCAGGGCUGAGCAGCCAGGCGGGCUGCCACUUUCACCCACUCUGGUGGUCGCCCGGCUGAGUAGGGUGUUGGCCCCCCAGGGCUGAGCAGCUCGACGGGCUGCCACUUUAACCCACUCUGGCGGUCGGCCGCCUGACUGGGGGGUGGGGGGGCCACAGGGCUGAGCAGCGCGGCAGGCUGAGACUUUUACCCACUCUGGCGGUCGUCCACCUGAGUGGGGGUUGUGGGCCCCCAGGGCUGAGCAGCUCGGCGGGCUGCCACUUUAACCCACUCUGGCGGUCGUCCAGCAGAGUGGGGGGUUGGACCCCAGGGCUGAGCACCGCGGAGGGCUGCCAGUUUUACCCACUCUGGCGGUGGGCUGGCUGAGUGGUUGUGGGGCCCCCAGGGCUGAGCUGCGCAGUCGGCUGCCACUUUCACCCACUCUGGCGGUGGGCCUCCUGAUUGGGGGUGGGGGCACCAGGGCUGAGCAGCGCGGUGGGAUGCCACUUUUACCCACUCUGGCGGUGGGCCGGCUGAGUGGCUGGUGGGGCCCGCAGGGCUGAGCAGCGUGGCGGGCUUCCACAUUCACCCUCUCUGGUGGUCGGCCACCUGAGUGGGGGUGGGGGGCGCCCCCAGGGCUGACCUGCGUCGCGGGCUGCCACUUUCACCCACUCUGGCGGUGGGCCACAUGACGGGGGGGCCAGGGCUGAGCUGCGCAGCGGGCUGCCACUUUCACACACUCUGGCGGUCGGCCGGCUGAGUGGGGGCUUGGCCCCCAGGGCUGAGCACCGCGGCGGGCUGCCACUUUCACCCACUAUGGGGGUCGACCGCCUGAGUGGUGGUCGGGGUACCACCCAGGGCUGAACAGCGCGGAGGGCUGCCACUUUUACCCACUCUGGCUGUUGGCCCGCUGAAUUGGGUGGUGGCCCCCAUGGCAGAGCAUUGCGGUGGGCUCCCACUUUUACCCACUCUGGCGGUGGGCCUCCUGAUUGGGGGGUGGGGGCCCCAGGGCUGAGCAGCACGGCGGGUUGCCACUUUUACCCACUCUGGCAGUCGGCCGCGUCAGUGGGGGUGGAGGGGCCCACAGGGCUGAGCAUCGUGGCAGGCUGCCACUUUUACCCACUCUGGUGAUGGGCUGGCUGAGUGGUUGUGGGCCCGCAGGGCUGAGCAGAGCUGCGGGCUGCGACUUUCACCCAC
rnacentral:lncRNA from 1 species